UGGCGACGGGUGAGUAAUGUCUGGGAAACUGCCUGAUGGAGGGGGAUAACUACUGGAAACGGUAGCUAAUACCGCAUAACGUCGCAAGACCAAAGAGGGGGACCUUCGGGCCUCUUGCCAUCGGAUGUGCCCAGAUGGGAUUAGCUAGUAGGUGGGGUAACGGCUCACCUAGGCGACGAUCCCUAGCUGGUCUGAGAGGAUGACCAGCCACACUGGAACUGAGACACGGUCCAG
rnacentral:rRNA from 1 species